GGAUCAAUGGAUUGGUCAUGCCGAUGGUAUGUACUGGUCAUAUUGGUUCUCACCUUCUAAGGAACCAUAAUGUCAUUCAUUUGAUGUUUUGGGGAAUUAGGACUGUUACCUUGAAAAAAUUAGAGUGUUUAAAGCAGGCUAACGCUUGAAUACAUUAGCAUGGAAUAAUGAAAUAGGACGUUCGAUCUUAUUUUGUUGGUUUCUAAGAUUGACGUAAU
rnacentral:rRNA from 1 species